CAACAGGGAUUGCCUCAGUAACGGCGAGUGAAGCGGCAACAGCUCAAAUUUGAAAUCUGGCCUCUUUGGGGUCCGAGUUGUAAUUUGUAGAGGAUGUUUCGGGUACCGCCUCGGUUUAAAUUUCUUGGAACAGAAUGUCAAAGAGGGUGAGAAUCCCGUCUUGGACCGGCGGUAGGGCCCAUGUGAAACUCCUUCGACGAGUCGAGUUGUUUGGGAAUGCAGCUCAAAAUGGGUGGUAAAUUUCAUCUAAAGCUAAAUAUUGGCCAGAGACCGAUAGCGCACAAGUAGAGUGAUCGAAAGAUGAAAAGCACUUUGAAAAGAGAGUUAAACAGUAUGUGAAAUUGUUGAAAGGGAAGCGCUUACAACCAGACUUGAGCGCGGCGGUUCCCCCUUCCUUUUGGUUGGGUUACUCCGUCGUGUCCAGGCCAACAUCGGUUUCGGGGGUCGGUUAAAGACCUUGGGAAUGUAUCUACCCUUCGGGCGUAGACUUAUAGCCCAGGGUGUCAUGCGGCCUCCCGGGACCGAGGAACGCGCUUCGGCUCGGAUGUUGGCGUAAUGGUUGUCAGCGACCCGUCUUGAAACACGGACCAAGGAGUCUAACAUCUAUGCGAGUGUUUGGGUGUCAAACCCGGAACGCGAAAUGAAAGUGAACGGAGGUAGGAAGCCUUGAGGCUGCACUAUCGACCGAUCCUGAUGUCUUCGGAUGGAUUUGAGUAAGAGCAUAGCUGUUGGGACCCGAAAGAUGGUGAACUAUGCCUGAAUAGGGUGAAGCCAGAGGAAACUCUGGUGGAGGCUCGCAGCGGUUCUGACGUGCAAAUCGAUCGUCAAAUUUGGGUAUAGGGGCGAAAGACUAAUCGAACCA
rnacentral:rRNA from 1 species